AAUUCAAGUACCUCAAAAUUUGUAAGUGCCCCAGCAUUGGCUUUCAAUCUGAAAAAUGUCCAAAAAUACUUGAUCAGCACUAGAAAAACUACAAUAAUAAUUGUUAAUGCCAAAAUGUAAGUGCCAAAAGAGUGACCAACUCAAAAAGUUAAAUUACAUACAUCUUCAUCAGGAAUCCGCCUUUCAGUUCCUAGUUAUCACACUUACUAUGUAGAGAAGCAAGACCAAGCUGCACGCCUGCAUUUUACCCUACCUCAUUUAAAUAUAGUGUAUUACAAUGCUAAUGUAACUUAUACCAAGCAGACCAAAUCAUAAAAAGACCAGCCAAAAUUCGCGAGAGUAAGCACAUGGACAAAAGACAGAAGUUUUACAAAGACAGAAAAUGUCAACUUAUAUCUACCGCAAUGAGUAAAAACAGCGUGUUCAACUGAUGUCCUAGGAAAAGCAAUUAACAUGCUAAUGACAAAUUUUAAAACAAGACACGGACAACUUCCAUCUUGAUAUGGAUGAACCUACAAAAACCCUACUAACUGAGGCUUUGAGCACAAACACUCUAUAACACAUAGACUGGUUUUAGAUCA
rnacentral:lncRNA from 1 species